rnacentral:rRNA from 1 species
AUUGAACGCUGGCGGAAUGCUUUACACAUGCAAGUCGAGCGGCAGCGCGGUCUUCGGACUGGCGGCGAGCGGCGAACGGGUGAGUAAUACAUCGGAACAUGCCCAGUCGUGGGGGAUAACACUUCGAAAGAAGUGCUAAUACCGCAUACGUCCUGAGGGAGAAAGCGGGGGAUCGCAAGACCUCGCGCGAUUGGAGUGGCCGAUGUCAGAUUAAGUAGUUGGUGGGGUAAAGGCCUACCAAGGCAACGAUCUGUAGCUGGUCGGAGAGGAUGAUCAGCCACACUGGGGCUGAGACACGGCCCAGACUCCUACAGGAGGCAGCAGUGGGGAAUUUUGGACAAUGGCGGCAACCCGGAUCCAGCCAUUCCGCGUGAGUGAAGAAGUCCUUCGGGUUGUAAAGCUCUUUCGGCAGGAACGAAACGGCGAGCUCUAACAUAGCUCGCUAAUGACGGUACCUGAAGAAGAAGCACCGGCUAACUACGUGCCAGCAGCCGCGGUAAGAC